rnacentral:rRNA from 1 species
CGCGUAGGCGGAUUAGUUAGUCAGAGGUGAAAUCCCAGGGCUCAACCCUGGAACUGCCUUUGAUACUGCUAGUCUUGAGUUCGAGAGAGGUGAGUGGAAUUCCGAGUGUAGAGGUGAAAUUCGUAGAUAUUCGGAGGAACACCAGUGGCGAAGGCGGCUCACUGGCUCGAUACUGACGCUGAGGUGCGAAAGUGUGGGGAGCAAACA